GCUGAAUUGAUAAAGUCGGCAGCUGCUAGUGGGAGAUUAAUUGUGGCGGCAAGUGUUGAUUUUCACAUAUAUAUACCAACAGAAAUUAGAAAACUGGAGUGGUGGAAUUAAUAAUAAAACCAGAUGCUGGGAAUUAAUUGUUGGGUCGCAAAGUGAGUUGAAUUAUAUAUUUGUACAUCUGACGGAAACGUCUCACGCAUGGGAAAGAGAAAAGCUCGGGAAUUGCUUGCUGGAAUUCAAUUGGAAAUAAAAUACAAGGUGGUGGCCGGGAGAUAUAUAUAUUACACACAUGCUGCCGACAGGAAAGAGAGGACAGACAGAGGCAUAUAAGUGGCGGUUGGAAUUGGACUUCUGAAGGAACAAAUUCGACAGCUGCUGUAGAGAAAAUAGAGACAUUUACAAGACACUGAAAGACGGCAAACACAAUUGGAAUAACCGUCAAUUAUUGGUGAUGUCGUUUCACUUCUCUUUGUUUAAUUUUAACAUUAUGCUCGGCUAGAUUAUUUUGUGCUAGGAUUUGUGAUGAACCUUAUAUUAUGAACUCUUAAUCUUGAAUUUUAUUUAUUUGACGUUAAAACAUGUUUUUAAUUAUUGAAUGAUUGGCAUGGAUUUUAUUUUCUCUACAAUUAUGUGCGCAAUAGUUGUAUGAGAUUUGUGGCUUGUUUUACCCUCGAGAGAUGGAAAAUAAGUUAGGCAUUAUGUUAAUUGUCGUAAAGUUCGAUAG
rnacentral:lncRNA from 1 species